UGGCGAGUUCGUGAGAGGUCUAGGUCGUCGUCUCCCAGUCAACUUUGGGUUGCUGGACCGUUGUCUCCUUAUAAUGUAAUUAUUUAUUUAUUUUGUACAGAACUCCUGUUAUGUAGUAAAGAUGUGACAUUCGAUCCUGUGCCAUGAUUCAUCAUAUGUGUGAGACUUGGUCCCAGCACACCUGGUGAUUAUGUUCGCGCCCGGGUUUUGGACCCUAAAAUCCGGGUGUGACACCUAUGCAGCCACGCCAUGAGCUAGAGCAUGCCCCCGACCACGUGUUGCCACCCGAGUAUCCGAUUGAGUGUCACACAAGGAUACCCGAUUAGAAUAUCGGGCCGAGCUAUGAUAGCCCAAGUCAUCAGCCCCACAUGCACCAUUCCUUACCAUUAACGACCUCAGAUGGCUAUGCAUAUGUACUGGGUAACUUAACAAGGCUAUCGAUUUCAUCAACUUAAACUCAUCAUACCAAGGAUCUCCCACAAAACAUGUAUAUUACAGUAAUCCCAUUCGAUACACACAUACUUCGGAGAUAGAGCGGAAGACUUUACAAACAUUCUUCACAUUUCCAAAGCUCAAGUUUUAUUACAUAGAAAGAAUUAUUACAAGUCCUGAUAGAACUUGAAAUGCAUAACUUAAUUACAAAACCAGGAAGGCAGAACCCUUCCAAGGCUCACAAACACACCUAACUAAUCAUCCUUCAAAACUAGAAGCAUCUUCUAGCCACAGGGACACCAAGAAUACUCCUGAUCACCUGCAACAUCAUGGGUUCGGAAACCCUGAGUACGGAGUGUACUUUCGCAAGUCUUACCUGACUAAGGAAAAAGACUCUCAAGGAUAUGCUGGAUUUGGGAAUCAAGGAAAGGCUUUUAGCAAGAAUCAACUUUAAUAGUUUGCAGAAAAGCUUACUAAAAGGAGUCCUUACUUUCAACAUUUUAAUGCUAGAUUGAGUAUUAAUAGACCUUGUUUGUAUCUAGUCUAAUCUCAUCAUCUCAUCAACACAACAUUAUUUUUACUCAUUGUGAUUCCAUCCAUGACUUAGAUUGCAGGGCAGUGAUCAAGUCUCUAUUGUUUGAGGAUAUAAUGGUGAUUUGAAUCGAUUUACCCAGCUAGGGACCUCUAACCACACGACAUAUGUAACACUUAACCCUUGUAUACGCCAACCUGCACCUGUGUUUCUCAAGACUAGAAUGGGUUCCCGCUACCCGAGAGCAUAGUUACUCCACCGUCCGGCCUCUUGCCACGGAGGGUAGACACUACUCUCACCAUCUCCCAUGCCCAGUGCGGGCGAGCUGUUCUGAUAUUGGUCCAGCGGAGAUUAGGCUUACCCUGUCCCAUACCAGGGCAGGUGGCCAGUUAAUAUAUGCCUCGAUCAGCAAGCCUACAUUCCCUGUAUUCUUUAAUCAACUUGGGCAAAACAUCACCUGUUCCUAGCCCAAGUCUCGAUUUAAGUACUUUCAUCCUUCGGACUUAUUUGUGUACCUUAGGAUGAUGAAAACAUCACAUGGAACCUUGUAUUACAUCUCCCCAUGAUCUAGGUGAAAAUAUUCUUGUAGGUAGAGCCAUCCUUCCUCAGGAUAAAUCCUGAGCUAGGCAUUAGUGCAAAGGACAAACUCUAUCUACAAGAUUUACCUCUAGACAGGGCUAAGCAAUUUUGUAAACAAUAUUUGAUACUUCUAAAGAAGUAUUUAUAAAAGGAAUGGAUAUCAAGGUAGUCUAUGCAUCAAAUAGUUUCCAAGAAACUCCUAUAAACUUAGUGCACAUUUCACUAGACUUAAAGUGUAUAAAAGUAUUUUAAAAAUACAAGGAAUGGGCAAAUUCACCGGGCUUGCCUUAUUGCAGUGAAGAGGUUCUAGAUCCCUUUAUCAAAUACCCAGUUAGAUGGCUCCUCCACUUGAUUAGCAUACACUGGAGUAGACUCCUCCUUCCAACACAACUUCUUCUAGGUGUUUUAAAAGUCAAUUACAAAUAAAUGAAUGCUUAUGUAAUGAUAUGAAAUACAAACUCUCACAAGGAGAGGUGGAGAACAUAAACACCACAAAAUAAAAUACAUGACAAGUAUACACAUACUUCUACCUAACUUAACACUUGAUAAAAGUGACCAAAUUGAAUUUACUUAGGCAAACUAGAGAACUAAUCCAUCUUAGAUCUCAUCCAAAAGCUUACAACUCUUUAAGCAACUUCAUUACUUCAUGGUGUGUUUGGUUUAUGGAGUCACUCUAUGCUUCAUGAGGUGAUGCAUCAUAAGUUCAUUCUAUCAAUUUUGGUGGAAUCAACCCACUCCUCAUGUAUAUACUAAUUAUUACUCCCUCCGUUUCUUUUUAUUAGUCGCUGGAUAGUGCAAUUUUGCACUAUCCAGCGACUAAUAAAAAGAAACGGAGGGAGUAGCUUAUAAGUAAUGGGGUGGUGAUAGAUCAAUAUAUUCUAUUCCACAAACCAAAUAAAAAGUGAGGAGUGAGAAGAAGAUUGAUCACUUCAUUCCUUAAACCAAACACACUAUUACUAAACUACUAGGUGUCCUCAUUUCAUAGGUGAAAUCCUUUUCUUUUUGAGAAAUAAUUAGUUUACUAAGCCAAGCAUAUCCAAAUAGUUCCAAAAUUUUCCCAAAGGUUCACAUUCGGAUAACCAGACUCUCCAAGAAUUUCCAUAAUUUUUGGUGUUAUAUUCUUGUUUCCAAAAUUCAAAUAGGCCUUCCAAAAGCACCUUUUCAUCCAUCGAAAUUUUCUAACUGCCCUAAAAAUCCUACAAAUAUUUUUAUCAGGAAUAUCUUGAUUUUAGACACUUAACAAAAUUGGUCUCACUAUUUUAUCAUGUUUCUAGAAGUUUUGGCAUCAUUUCCAAGUUUCUAGAUAAAAGAAAAAGGAAAAACAGGCACAGUUCUGGGCUCAAACUGUUUGUGCGGCUCAGCGAACAGGCAGAGCUGGCCUGCGGUCGACGGCCCGUGCGCUCGCUCCUGUACUUUUGCACUAAAGCCCCCAUCCUCUGACCGAAUGAAUUCGGGCUCUGGCCACUAUUUGUUUGUGUCACUGCCAAUUGCACAGACACCCCUCAGCUUCGGUUCAUUCCCAGAUUCUCAGCCACGACGCUCCCGCCCUACUCCGGCGAAAUACGACCACGGCCACGGCGGCGCUGACUUCUGGCACCCUCAGACCGUCACUAGAACGUGUUCCUGACCCACGUGAACUAAUCCCAAGGCUCCAACUCCCGAGCCGAGCACCAAUCCUCACCAGCGACGGCACCGGUGAGGUUCUCGGUCCGGUGAGCUCGUUUCUCGGGCAUCAAUACAGUAGAGUUCAAUCAAAUGUCGUGGGGAGCAUCAAUGAUAUACCUAAACUUCGGUGCUCGCGAGGAAUCGGCCGGAGAAAGCGUGAGUCACCCGGUCGGCGGUGAAGCUGUCUGUGGCGCCCAUCUGCGGCGGCACAACCCUGUUCCGAUCACCUGACAAUGGUAGAGUUCAAAAGCUGAUUUGCGUCAAUGCGUGAGCUUCACUGACCACUAGAGACCACAUAACAAGUGUCGCCUGGGCAUGCAACCCUGGCCAAGGUGAGAUGAGCAUUCGGGUGGACUUGGUCACCACACUGGUGAUGGUGUGCCAGGCUCUGGAGCAACUCGAUCUUGGGACAGAGAAGAGGGUUACAUCAGCAGUAGCACAAGGAAUCCAUACUCCUUUAGCUAGAACUUGAGGGUAGACAGGAGGUUUCACUGAAUCAAGUUUGCAG
rnacentral:lncRNA from 1 species